AUUGAACGCUGGCGGCAUGCCUUACACAUGCAAGUCGAACGGCAGCACGGGUGCUUGCACCUGGUGGCGAGUGGCGAACGGGUGAGUAAUACAUCGGAACGUACCUUAUCGUGGGGGAUAACGCAGCGAAAGCUGUGCUAAUACCGCAUACGCCCUGAGGGGGAAAGCGGGGGAUCGAAAGACCUCGCGCGAUUAGAGCGGCCGAUGCCUGAUUAGCUUGUUGGUGGGGUAAAAGCCCACCAAGGCGACGAUCAGUAGCUGGUCUGAGAGGACGAUCAGCCACACUGGGACUGGGACACGGCCCAGACUCCUACGGGAGGCAGCAGUGGGGAAUUUUGGACAAUGGGGGCAACCCUAAUCCAGCAAUGCCGCGUGAGUGAAGAAGGUCUUCGGGUUGUAAAGCUCUUUUGUCAGGGAAGAAACACCGGCUCUAACACAGUCCGGGAAUGACGGUACCUGAAGAAUAAGCACCGGCUAACUACGUGCCAGCCGCCGCAGUAA
rnacentral:rRNA from 1 species